CCUACGGGUGGCAGCAGUGAGGAAUAUUGGUCAAUGGGCGCGAGCCUGAACCAGCCAAGUCGCGUGAAUGAUGACUGCCCUACGGGUUGUAAACUUCUUUUAUAAAGGAAUAAAGUCAGGCACGUGUGCCUUUUUGUAUGUACUUUAUGAAUAAGGAUCGGCUAACUCCGUGCCAGCAGCCGCGGUAAUACGGAGGAUCAGAGCUUUAUCCGGAUUUAUUGGGUUUAACGGGAGCGUAGAUGGGUUGUUAAGUCAGAUGUGAAAGUUUGCGGCUCAACCGUAACAUUGCAUUUGAUACUGGCAGCCUUGAGUGCAGUGGAGGUAGGCGGAAUUGGUGGUGUAGCGGUGAAAUGCUUAGAGAUCAGGAAGAACUCCGAUGGCGAAGGCAGCUUACUAAACUGCCACUGACAUUGAUGCUCGAAAGUGUGGGGAGCAAACAGGAUUAGAUACCCGGGUAGUC
rnacentral:rRNA from 1 species